rnacentral:rRNA from 1 species
CAUAGUGAAGUUAUACUCUCGUAUCAAAAACCAAGCCAGGCAAAGGGUAAAAAUCAUAGUUUGCAUCGGAGAUGGGAUCGGUUUAUCAUAUCAAGUUUAUUUUGUGAGGUGUAGUAUUUGGAUUGGAGUAGCGAAGUAAGGGUUGAGAUAAGACAAGGACAUAGUGUGGGGGGUGGCAAUUAGAAGAAAAAACACCAUAUUUUUCGUCAUAGUGAGUAAUAGUAACCUAUAGUAUCGCAUGCUUGAUGUAGCGAUGAGUCUUUCAAGUUUCUGCCCUAUCACCGCUUUGAUGGUAGUAUAUGGGCCUACCAUGGCAGUAACGGGUAACGAAGAAUUUGGGUUCGAUUUCGGAGAGGGAGCCUGAGAGAUGGCUACCACAUCCAAGGAAGGCAGCAGGCGCGUAAAUUACCCAAUCCUCACACAGGGAGGUAGUCACAAUAAAUCACAAUGCGGGACCAAUGGUCUUGCAAUUGGAUUGAGAACAAUGUACAACUCUUAUCGAUAAGCCAUUGGAGGGCAAGUCUGGUGCCCAGCAG